rnacentral:piRNA from 1 species
UGAGAUAGUGCUGUGGGCGAGAAGAGGGU